rnacentral:siRNA from 1 species
UUGUCCUAAGCUGCAGCGGAUGAC